UUUAUUGGCUUAAUGUGGACGAUAUACACCCUCAAGCGAAUUUAUUCAUAGGUAUCGGUAACUAUCAGUUUAAAUGUGCAUCACUGUUGAAACAUUCAGAUAGCAACUUUGUGUUAGACAAUGACAUGAGAAAAGAAAGAAACCGAAACUUCAUAAUAGUCUGUGAAUUUUUUUUUUUUUUGAUGAAUAGCCUACUAUUCGUUUUUGAUUUCGUCCUUUAAAUACAGCAGCAGCAUGAAUUUAAGAUGCAUAACAUUCUUCGAAAGACUUACAUUGAACAUCCUAUUGAAUUUCGUCAUACCAGAGCGAAUCACAGAAUGGCUUUUGAAAACGUCUUCGUGGUGUGUUGCCUCGUGCUGUGCUUCUGCUCGCCGGCUUUCUCGAUGCCAAUGAGGUGCAAAAUGAACGGACACCUGACACAAAUAAACAAACAACUGCUGCUCGAGCUGGGAGGUAAUCUUCCUGAGCAAUGCAAAAAUGAGAAUGUACAGGUUUCAGUGCCGCUGGAUGCCUAUGAGAUUACA